rnacentral:rRNA from 1 species
GACGAACGCUGGCGGCGUGCCUAAUACAUGCAAGUUGAGCGCUGAAGGUUGGUACUUGUACCGACUGGAUGAGCAGCGAACGGGUGAGUAACGCGUGGGGAAUCUGCCUUUGAGCGGGGGACAACAUUUGGAAACGAAUGCUAAUACCGCAUAAAAACUUUAAACACAAGUUUUAAGUUUGAAAGAUGCAAUUGCAUCACUCGAAGAUGAUCCCGCGUUGUAUUAGCUAGUUGGUGAGGUAAAGGCUCACCAAGGCGAUGAUACAUAGCCGACCUGAGAGGGUGAUCGGCCACAUUGGGACUGAGACACGGCCCAAACUCCUACGGGAGGCAGCAGUAGGGAAUCUUCGGCAAUGGACGAAAGUCUGACCGAGCAACGCCGCGUGAGUGAAGAAGGUUUUCGGAUCGUAAAACUCUGUUGGUAGAGAAGAACGUUGGUGAGAGUGGAAAGCUCAUCAAGUGACGGUAACUACCCAGAAAGGGACGGCUAACUACGUG